AUGGCUCCAGGUUCACCUACCCUCGCUCUCAAAGUGGCCACCAUUGCUACCAUGCUUGCCAUGGUGAUCCUUCCAUCCGUGGGGAGCUCCCCGUCGCUGGGCCAAGAAGAACUAGUAACGACCCCGGCACCAGCAUCGGGUCCGGUGCAGCGAGUGUGGCCCACACUGCACAGAGAUGUGCACAGUCUCUGUUCCCCCGAUGUGCCGCAAGUACUGCAAAGUCCCCAGCUGCGAGGACUGCCGGUCUUGCGCGAUCGGCAAGUGCAGGGCCGGUUGCACCACUGGUAG
rnacentral:rRNA from 1 species